rnacentral:lncRNA from 1 species
CCCCUCAUUGUUUUCCCUCACCCCCUUGGUGUGGACCAUCCCUCAAUCCCACAACCCCUUCCCUCAUUCCCUCGGCCCAUUUACCUCAUCCCUUCUUUCUUUCACCCCUCACACCAUGCCCAGAGACCCCUUUUCUCGCCUCAGUCCUUUCCCCUCAGUGUUUUCCCUCAGCCCCUUGGUUUGGACCCUCCCUCAGUCCCACAGCCCCUUCCGUCGUCCCCUCACACCAUGGCCAGAGACCUCUUUUGUCACCUCAGUCCUUUCCCCUCAGUGUUUUCCCUCAGCCCCUUGCUUUGGACCCUCCCUCAGUCCCACAAACCCUUCUCUCAAUCCCUCACCCCUCACACCAUGGCCAGGGCCCUUUUUCUCGCCUCAGUCCUUCCCCCUCAUUGUUUUCCCUCAGCCCCUUGCUUUGGACCCUCCCUCAGUCCCACAACCCCUUCCGUCGUCCCCUCACACCAUGGCCAGAGACCCCUUUUCUCACCUCAGUCCUUUCCCCUCAUUGUUUUCCCUCACCCCCUUGGUGUGGACCAUCCCUCAAUCCCACAACCCCUUCCCUCAUUCCCUCGGCCCAUUUACCUCAUCCCUUCUUUCUUUCACCCCUCACACCAUGCCCAGAGACCCCUUUUCUCGCCUCAGUCCUUUCCCCUCAGUGUUUUCCCUCAGCCCCUUGGUUUGGACCCUCCCUCAGUCCCACAAACCCUUCCCUCAUUCCCUCGGCCCAUUCACCUCAUCCCUUCUUUCUUUCACCCCUCACAUUGUGCCCAGGGCCCCUUUUUCUCACCUCAGUCCUUCCCCCUCAGUGUUUUCCCUCAGCUCCUUGCUUUGGACCCUCCCUCAGUCCCACAAACCCUUCUCUCAUUCCCUCACCCCUCACACCAUGGCCAGAGCCCUUUUCUCACCUCAGUCCUUCCCCCUCACUGUUUUCCCUCAGCCCCUUGGUGUGGACCAUCCCUCAGUCCCACAGCCCCUUCCCUCAUUCCCUCAGCCCAUUCACCUCAUCCCUUCUUUCUUUCACCCCUCACACCAUGGCCAGAGACCCCUUUUUCUCGCCUCAGUCCUCCCCCCUCAGCGUUUUCCCUCAGCCCCUCUGUUUGGAUCUUCCCUCGGCCCCCCUCAAUCCCCUCCUUGAUCACUUCAGUUCGUGUUUUCAGCUCUUCCCGCUGCCCCUUCCCUUGUCCCUUCAGUCUUCUCCUGCCCUGAGUCUGACCCUCACCUCAGUGCCUUCUUGUUUUUGGACCUUCCCUCAUCCCCUCACUAUUCACACCAUGGCCAGAGCCCCUUUUUUCACCUCAGUCCUUCCCCUUCAAUGUUUUCCCUCAGCCCCUUGGUGUGGAUCUUGCCUUAGUUCUUCUGACUCUGAUCCCCUCAGCCCCUCCAUCUUCUGUUCUUGCCUUUGCCCCUUCCCUUGUCUUCUCCUGCCCUGAGCCCCAUAACUCCCCUCAGUGCCUUUCCAAGAGGCUUGUUUUGGACCUUCCCUCAGUCCCCUCCAACCCCUUCCCCUCAUCC